GUUUUUGUACGGCGGCUCAAUGAGUUUGUAUCACUGUGGUGGACUUUUGGUGGAGGAACCAGACUGGAUGUUGGAAGUGAUGUCCGUCCCACCCUGACGGUGCUGCCUCCCUCCAGUGAGGAGCUGCAGCAGGGGAAGGCCACCCUCAUGUGUCUGGCCAACAAGGGCUUCCCCUCAGACUGGAGUCUGUCCUGGAAGGUGGACGGCAGCAGCAGCAGCAGCAGCUGGAAGGAGACCAGGAGCCCCGGGGUGCUGAAGGACGGCCACUACAGCUGGAGCAGCACCCUGAGGCUCUCUGCAGACCACUGGAGGAAGGUGGGCUCUGUGACCUGUGAGGCCACCCAGGGCUCCCAGACUCCGCUCUCAGAGACACUGAGGAGAGACCAGUGUUCCCAGUUCUGACCUGACUCACUGGGACUCUGCUACUUGUUUUGCUCUCAUUAUGCUCUCUCUUUCUCUUUUUCUCUCUUUCUCCCUUUCUCUCAUGGCAUGUUCACACAUUAACUUCUUCUUGCUUGUGUUCAUGGGUUUAAAAUUUUGAAGAAAAUAAAGAUUUUACAAUGUGUGUUAUAAAA